GUUAUUAUUCUUUCUUGUUUAUUAUAUCUGCUUCCUAUCUCUGUCUAUAUUAGAUUCUACAACCUUGUGUUUAGAAUCUGAUUUAAGAUUUUAAAAAGAAAAAAAAAGUCAAUGCAAUUCAACCUCCAUUCUUGUGUUUUUCUCACCUUCACAAAAUCCAUUGGGAAAGCAAACUCAAUUGCAACUAUACAACUUCCUCCCGU
rnacentral:lncRNA from 1 species